rnacentral:rRNA from 1 species
AGCUCCAAUAGCGUAUAUUAAAGUUGCUGCAGUUAAAAAGCUCGUAGUUGGAUUUCUGGCUCGACAGACCUGGCCCGCCUCUUCAAUGGGGUGUGUGUCGGUGCCUGUCUGCCAUCCUUCCGUUGGAACUGCGUCUGCUCUUCAUUGGGUGGGCGUAGGACCCGGAUCUAUUACUUUGAAAAAAUUAGAGUGUUUAAAGCAGGCAUUUUGCCUUGAAUACAUUAGCAUGGAAUAAUAAUCUAGGACUUCGGUUCUAUUUUGUUGGUUUCUAGGACUGAAGUAAUGAUUGAUAGGGACAGUUGGGGGUGCUAGUAUUCAGCGGCCAGAGGUGAAAUUCUUGGAUUCGCUGAAGACUAACUUAUGCGAAAGCAUUCACCAAGGAUGUCUUCU